GUGUAUAUACGAUGUAUUUAUUGUAUAUACCUAUAUGUCCAAUGUUGAUGAUGAAUGCGCGCGUGUAUAUAUAUAUCGUUGUUUUAGUUUUAUAUAUAAGUUCACAUUAUACAUGACCUGUCAGUUGAAACUUUGCGUUCUACGUCAAUGGAAUGGUGGUUCAAAUUUAUUUUGACGUCUGCUUAUUGUGAGUGAGUUCACAGUGCGGAGUGUUAAACAGUUGUUGUGGGUAGAUUAAAAGUAUAUUGUGUUUAGGUCUUAGGAGCAAAAACACAACAUCUAAAAACGUUGUGGUUUGGAUAAAAUAACUGGUAAUCGACUUUAUCACAUAUACAGUGUCAGUAAUUUAAAGAAACUAACUUGUGGUUCCAGUGAUCAAAACUGCAUUGGCAGUGUUGAUUUGAAAUUGACUUUUGAAAGACUUAGAGUGGAGAUUCAGAAGGGUUCGGUAACAGUAUUGAUCCGAAUAUUUUUCUUAAUGGUUUUUAUUUCAAAUUUGCGAAACGUUACAUAAAACGUUUCACAGAUUUCUAUGAAUACAAUUUAAUAACUUCUGAAAAAAAUUUGGAACUUUGUUUAAUUCUUUGUUUAAACAUACACGUAUCAACCUAAAGCAGCAUCAUGGUUGUUGGAGUAGAUACCCCGAAAGCCGAAACAAAGGGGCAAAAACAAUUUACGGAAAGGACGGAAGAGCCAGCUCGAAAAGAUUCGUCAAAAACGAAGAAAUUUCUACGGAUUAGUCCGAAGUUAAAGAAGAAAUCGUCUCGGAAGGAGGACGAAACCAGUAUGAAAGACAUGGCCUCUCAGGGAAAAUCUAAAAAAUUAAACGACAAAAUACCAAACGGAUUAAAUGAUAAAGAAAGAUUAGAAUUAAAACAAACUUUUGAUUUAUUUGAUAAAAAUCAGGAUGGAAAAAUAUCUAGUGAGGAAUUAGGCUGUGUAUUAAGAACGCUAGGGCAUGAUUAUACAGCUAUAGAAAUAGAUGAAAUGAUUAAAAAUGCAGA